rnacentral:misc_RNA from 1 species
GGAAGGAUCAUUGAAUCUAUCGGAACACACUUAGAAGAAUGCAGAGCUUAAGGAGUUCUACUCCUUUGGCCUGUUGCACAUCUACUCCAAACAUCAAUUCAACUAUAUCAUGGCCAUCAGCUUAGCUGAUAGUCGACAACCGAUACAACUCUCAACAACGGAUAUCUUGGCUCUCGCAACGAUGAAGAACGCAGCGAAAUGCGAUACGUAGUGUGAAUUGCAGAAUUCCGUGAACCAUCGAAUCUUUGAACGCAUAUUGCGCCCGAAGCUUCGGCUCAGGGCAUGCCUGCCUCAGCGUCGUAUAAGGACCGCCAGCUUCUUUGAAUACAAAGAAUACUGGCGAGUUGUUGCUCAAUAAUGAACCCUGUGGCUUUCCCGCGGCUAUGUUGCUUUGGGUUUGUUGAAAUUUAGGGCACAAGUAAGGAACACAUACGCUUCGACUGGACAGGUUCGCAUGAAAGUGCGUAACACGAAGUUGAAGCGCGGGCUUUGCAAGUGCCAUGCAGGAAGCCAUUUAUUUGGCGUCAUCAAGGUUUGACCUGAGCUCAGGCAAGAUUACCCGCUGAACUUAAGCAUAUCAAUAAGCGGAGGAAAAGAAACUAACAAGGAUUCCCUUAGUAACGGCGAGCGAACAGGGAACAGCCCAACUGUAAAUCUCCCUCUGGAGAAUUGUAGUCUGUAGAAGCUUCCUCUGUGGCUUGCGGAGCCCAAGUCCCCUGGAAAGGGGCGUCAAAGAGGGUGACAACCCCGUCGGUUCCUGCCAAGUCGCUUCACGAGGUGCUUUCGAAGAGUCGGGUUGCUUGGGAAUGCAGCCCAAAGUGGGUGGUAAAUCCCAUCUAAGGCUAAAUACUGGCGAGAGACCGAUAGCGAACAAGUACCGUGAGGGAAAGAUGAAAAGAACUUUGAAAAGAGAGUUAAAAAGUGCUUGAAAUUGUUGAGAGGGAAGCGUUUGGAAGAUGCGGGUGCGCCUAGGCUUACGCGUCUUUAACGAGCCGUUGUAUGUGCUAGGUGCUGGUCAACAUGGGUUGCAAUGGUGGGAUAACCGCAAGGAUUGCUACCUUGUCUAUACCACCGUUGCGACCAAGGCGUGAAGGACGCCCUUGCCCUUCGGGAGCAGCGUUCUCAAGAUGUUGGCAGAAGUCUUCCAACCGGCCCGUCUUGAAACACGGACCAAGGAGUCUAACAUGUAUGCGAGUUGGUGGGUUGCAAACCCAUGAAGCGCAAGGAAACUAACUGGUGGGAUGGCCUGUGCCUGCACCAUCUACCGACCAUGAGCUUUUGCGAAAGGUUUGAGUGCGAGCAUACCUGUUGGGACCCGAAAGAUGGUGAACUAUGCCUGAGCAGGGCGAAGUCAGAGGAAACUCUGAUGGAGGCUCGUAGAUGUGCUGACGUGCAAAUCGCUUUUCGGACUUGGGUAUAGGGGCGAAAGACUAAUCGAACCAUCUAGUAGCUGGUUCCCUC